rnacentral:rRNA from 1 species
UACGGAGGGUGCAAGCGUUAUCCGGAUUCACUGGGUUUAAAGGGUGCGUAGGCGGGCAGGUAAGUCAGUGGUGAAAUCUCCGAGCUUAACUCGGAAACUGCCAUUGCUACUAUUUGUCUUGAAUAUUGUGGAGGUAAGCGGAAUAUGUCAUGUAGCGGUGAAAUGCUUAGAUAUGACAUAGAACACCAAUUGCGAAGGCAGCUUACUACACAAUGAUUGACGCUGAGGCACGAAAGCGUGGGGAUCAAACAGG